rnacentral:lncRNA from 1 species
GGUCCAUCCCUGCACGUCCUGCUAACAGAUCUUACCAGAAGAGUGUCGAGAGCAUCAAUGAGAUGUCUCUGUGUUACCUGACAGCAGCCAUCUCCUCCUCAGUGAACUGACGACCCGCCGCAUCACUCAGCAGCCAAACUAACAGGGUCACACACACGGGAGCGGGAUACAGGAAAUUGAAUAAAACACAAAGAAGUGAAGAAAAACACACGAGCACAGUUCGUCUUCGUACUUCGAUGUCAAGAGUUCCAGCAUUAGUCCCGUCUUCCUGUUUCCCAAGCGUUUGAUUCCCCGGCUUCCUCGACCUUGUUUCCGUGACUCGAUUCUGCCCUUGCCUGAUCCUUGUCUGCUGUACUGCUACGCUGAGUAUCUGCCCGUGUACCAAACCUGUUUCCGUGACCCGACUCUGCUCCUGGAUUACCCCUUGAUAAUUUGUAUGAUCAACUGUCUAUGCGUGUACCAUAGCAACUGCAAAGUUUUCAGUAAAGACUAUUCCCAUUCAACACUUAUCUGACUCUGUGUCGUGCAAUUGAGUCACACCUCCCUUCUGUCUUGAUCGUACCGUUACAGGGUGCUGGUGAAUGGUUGGCCGGUGGUAACCAUCCAAGGUGGAUCACUUGGAAGUGCAGGAUGAGGUCAGCUGAUGGUGGAUGAUGUUGAUUUUGGUGUCAAAGAAUUGCAGGAAGUCGUCGUGGUGGUGGUUGGAGACAUCUGGAGGGAGAGUUGUAGCAGGUUGAAGUAGGUGGCUGACUGUUG